rnacentral:rRNA from 1 species
GACGAACGCUGGCGGCAUGCCUAAUACAUGCAAGUCGAACGGAGUUUAUGAAGAAGCUUGCUUCUUUAUAAACUCAGUGGCGGACGGGUGAGUAACACGUAGGCAACCUGCCUGUAAGUCGGGGAUAACUCACGGAAACGUGAGCUAAGACCGGAUGGUCGAGAGGAAGGCAUCUUCUUCUUGGGAAAGACGGAGCAAUCUGUCGCUUAUGGAUGGGCCUGCGGCGCAUUAGCUAGUUGGUGAGGUAACGGCUCACCAAGGCGACGAUGCGUAGCCGACCUGAGAGGGUGAACGGCCACACUGGGACUGAGACACGGCCCAGACUCCUACGGGAGGCAG